UACGGGGGGGGCAAGCGUUGUUCGGAAUUAAUGGGCGUAAAGGGCUCGUAGGCGGCCAACUAAGUCAGACGUGAAAUCCCUCGGCUUAACCGGGGAACUGCAUCUGAUACUGGAUGGCUUGAGUUCGGGAGAGGGAUGCGGAAUUCCAGGUGUAGCGGUGAAAUGCGUAGAUAUCUGGAGGAACACCGGUGGCGAAGGCGGCAUCCUGGACCGACACUGACGCUGAGGAGCGAAAGCUAGGGGAGCAAACAGG
rnacentral:rRNA from 1 species